rnacentral:misc_RNA from 1 species
GAUGAAGAACGUAGUGAAAUGCGAUAAGUAAUGUGAAUUGCAGAAUUCAGUGAAUCAUCGAAUCUUUGAACGCACAUUGCGCCCUUUGGUAUUCCGAGGGGCAUGCCUGUUCGAGCGUCAUUAUAACCCCUCAAGCUCAGCUUGGUGUUGGGGCCUGCUGCACUGGCAGCCCUUAAAAUCAGUGGCGGCGCCAUCUGGCUCUAAGCGUAGUAAUUCUUCUCGCUAUGGAGUCCUGGUGGAUGCUUGCCAUCAACCCCCAAUUUUUCUAUGGUUGACCUCGGAUCAGGUAGGGAUACCCGCUGAACUUAAGCAUAUCAAUAAGCGGAGGA